GGCUCUCCGUCGGGCGGCUCGCGAUGCUGCGUCUGCCGCUUGUGCUUCAUGCGCCGGUUCUGGAACCACACUUUGACCUGCCUUUCGGUGAGGUCCAGCAGGGCCGCGAUCUCGACGCGACGCGGCCGGCACAGCUCACUGCAGCCCAGCCUGGAGCAGAAGACUUGCUUAGCAGAGAAAUGGCAACUCAGCCGGGAGCUGGAACUCAAAACUUUGUCUGUGUAACAGCUGCGUGGGUGGUGACCCAAUGGUGGUUGGGCUUCGGGUCACGUGACGACUUCUUUGUAGCUCCGGAAGAGAACUAUAAAGUUUAGGUUUGCUUGGAAGAAACAGGAAUGAGUGAACUGAGGGGGGAGGGAGUCAAGAUUUGGGAGAGAAUCACCCACAGAAAUGGAAGGUGUGUUAAUUUGGGCGCUUCUUGAAUUCUACCCUGAGGAGGAGGCGCGUGGUGAGAGGAGAGGUCUGUGUAGGUGGGGUGGGGGUCGCAGGGUCCGUGGUGCUGGCUGGGGGCCAUGGGGGUCGCCCCGUUGUAGUCCAGGUUCCCAGAGGGGUGGUGGGCGAGGUGGUUGAGGCCGUAGAGGGAGGGGCCGGCAGGGGGCGGCAGCGGAUCCGCGUAGCCGCCCCCACCCACGUACACGGGGCUGCCCUGCAUGGUGGGCGUCCCGUAGGCACCCCCGUUGGCCGGCAGGACGUGCGGCUCGUACUCGGGCGCCGGGGUCGGGGCGUACUUCUGCGGGGCGCCGCAGCCCUUGAGAGGAGGAGGCGGUUGGUAGUUGGAGGGCAGCGCGUAGGCAUUCUGGUGGGCUUUGCCGAAGGCGGGCGGGGACGGGCUCUCGUAGCUGGGGGUCAUGGAGUGUAAGGCGUUCAUGAAGCCGGCCGUGGACUGCAUGGGCUGCGGGGGGCUGCCGGCCGGGGAGGGGCCCCCCGACGACGAGGCCAGGCCCUUGGCCUUCUGGUCCUUCUUGUACUUCAUGCGCCGGUUCUGGAACCAGAUCUUGAUCUGCCGCUCGCUGAGGUUCAGCAGGUUGGCCAUCUCCACCCGCCUGGGCCGGCACAGGUAGCGGUUGAAGUGGAAUUCCUUCUCCAGCUCCACCAGCUGCGCGCUCGUGUAGGCCGUCCGUGCCCGCUUGGAGGCCGCCGACCCUGGGGGGCUCUUGUCCCCUCCCCCGCCCGCCGCCUCCCCCACUGCCACCGCCUCCUCCUCCUCCUCCUGCACCUCCUGCACCACCUCCUCCUCCUCCUCCUCCACCUCCUCCUCCUCCUCCUCCUCCUCCUCCGCUGCCGCAGCCCUCCGCUGGAUCCGAGGGGAGGGGUGGGAUGGGGGGGGGAGAAAAUGAAAUAAAAGAUAAUUACUGAACACGCCGAAA